rnacentral:rRNA from 1 species
UACGUAGGAGGCGAGCGUUGUCCGGAGUUACUGGGCGUAAAGGGUGCGCAGGCGGCGUGCCAAGUGGCGUGUGAAAUCUCCCGGCUCAACUGGGAGGGUGGACGCCAAACUGGCGCGCUUGAGGCUCGGCGGGGGGCGUGGAAUUCCGGGUGGAGCGGUGAAAUGCGUAGAGAUCCGGAGGAACACCGACGGCGUAGGCAGCGCCCCUGGACGAGACCUGACGCUCAGGCACGAAAGCUGGGGGGAGCAAACAGG